rnacentral:tRNA from 1 species
CCGUAGCUCAGCUGGAUAGAGCAACGGCCUUCUAAGCCGUGGGUCGGGGGUUCGAAUCCCCCCGGG